GUGGUAUAGCCAAGUGGUAAGGCACAGGUCUGCAAAACCUCGAUCACCGGUUCAAAUCCGGUUACCA
rnacentral:tRNA from 1 species